UAAAUGAUCUAGGACAGAUUUUAAAAUGUAUACAACUUGCUGUAAUUUAACAAAAAAAAAAAAACCCCUAUUUUUAAUGCUUUAAGGAAGGUAAAGACACUGUGAGGGGAAUAAUAAUGCAGAGAUUAAUUCCCAGACAGGGAAGGAAUGGUAUAUGUGUUGGACAGAAACUGAGGAGGGGGGGAUUUGGAGGGAAAAUAUCUGAGGUACAGAAAAAGUAAAUGGGCAAGCACAACAAGACUGGAGAAAGAAAAAAACCUUUAAAAAGGGUUAGAAGAUUUAGAAGCCUUCAUGGGAGGAAGAGGUGAGAUUAGACUUCAUUGUGGAAAGACUUAAAUGCUAACCUAAGGAAUGUGGACUUUAUUCUUAGGUAACAGAGAGAAAAAAAAAAAAACAAAACAACAACAACAACAAAGAAUGCAAAAGAAUGCUGAGAUUGGAGGAACAAUCUUUAGGAAGAUGAACUUACCAGCAAUGUGAGAAGAGAUAGCUAAUUCUGCUUACAUUACUGGAAUGGGAAUGUCCAGCACUAACAAGCAACAAAGGAUGAGACAAUGAAGGAACUUAAACACCUUGUGACAAAUACCUCUGGGAGCUGGCAUGUCUGGACUCUUGGAACCCUAGUCUAUUUGACUGGCCUACAAAGUGCACCCUGUAUUUUUCAGAUUUCCAAAAACCAGGACAAAGAGAGAAGCAGCAAAGAGCCUUGGCUUGUGGCCUGACUAUAUCCUACCAUUAGCCUCUGUCCAGAAAGAAUUGCGAAAAAAACAAGGAAACAAACA